rnacentral:rRNA from 1 species
GACUUCGGUCUGGUGGCGAGUGGCGAACGGGUGAGUAAUAUAUCGGAACGUACCCUGGAGUGGGGGAUAACGCAGCGAAAGUUGCGCUAAUACCGCAUACGAUCUACGGAUGAAAGUGGGGGCUCGCAAGACCUCAUGCUCGUGGAGCGGCCGAUAUCUGAUUAGCUAGUUGGUAGGGUAAAAGCCUACCAAGGCUUCGAUCAGUAGCUGGUCUGAGAGGACGACCAGCCACACUGGGACUGAGACACGGCCCAGACUCCUACGGGAGGCAGCAGUGGGGAAUUUUGGACAAUGGGGGCAACCCUGAUCCAGCAAUGCCGCGUGAGUGAAGAAGGCCUUCGGGUUGUAAAGCUCUUUUGUCAGGGAAGAAACGGUGAAGGCUAAUACUCUUUGCUAAUGACGGUACCUGAAGAAUAAGCACCGGCUAACUACGUGCCAGCAGCCGCGGUAAUACGUAGGGUGCAAGCGUUAAUCGGAAUUACUGGGCGUAAAGCGUGCGCAGGCGGUUAUGUAAGUCAGAUGUGAAAUCCCCGGGCUCAACCUGGGAAUGGCAUUUGAGACUGCAUGGCUAGAGUGUGUCAGAGGGGGGUAGAAUUCCACGUGUAGCAGUGAAAUGCGUAGAUAUGUGGAGGAAU